rnacentral:tRNA from 1 species
AAGGAAUAAAUUUCCAAAUAGUAAAUGUUUUAUAAGGAUUUAAUUUUAACUUUAGUUAGAAGAAUUUUA